GCCCAGAAGAGUGAGAGCAGGAUCCUAACCCUUCUCCCAGCUGCUUCUCUCACCGUCUAUUGCCACACCUUCCUCCCAACUGUGAGGAUAAUUUUCCACCUCCAUGCACGGAGAAUUCGUGGCUCUGCUCACUGGGUUAAUCAUCUCAAACAAAGGGCCCAGCACCUCUUCAUUCAUCCUAGUGGCAUCGGGAGCUGCGGUGUGUCACCCAGAAUACACUUUUGUCCAAUCAGCGCC